rnacentral:tRNA from 1 species
GGGCGGUUAACUCAGCGGUAGAGUGUCACCUUCACACGGUGGAAGCCACAGGUUCAAUCCCUGUACCGCCCACCA